CCUACGGGCGACUGCAGUGGGGAAUAUUGGACAAUGGGGGGAACCCUGAUCCAGCCAUGCCGCGUGUGUGAAGAAGGCCCUCGGGUUGUAAAGCACUUUCAGUGAGGAAGAACGCCUGGUGGUUAAUACCCAUCAGGAAAGACAUCACUCACAGAAGAAGCACCGGCUAACUCCGUGCCAGCAGCCGCGGUAAUACGGAGGGUGCGAGCGUUAAUCGGAAUUACUGGGCGUAAAGCGCGCGUAGGUGGCUUGAUAAGCCGGUUGUGAAAGCCCCGGGCUCAACCUGGGAACGGCAUCCGGAACUGUCAAGCUAGAGUGCAGGAGAGGAAGGUAGAAUUCCCGGUGUAGCGGUGAAAUGCGUAGAGAUCGGGAGGAAUACCAGUGGCGAAGGCGGCCUUCUGGACUGACACUGACACUGAGGUGCGAAAGCGUGGGUAGCAAACAGGAUUAGAUACCCCGGUAGUC
rnacentral:rRNA from 1 species